AUUUGGUGCAAGUGUUCUCCUUUUUGCAGAUUGGUUCUCUUUGUGACCACCAUUCGUUCUCUGAACUUCUGCGCGCUGUUGAAGUUCUUCUUUGCAACUUUGCAGCCACCGACAAGGCAAAACAGCACAAACAGAGAAACUCGGCACUCUCAGAUAUGCUUCAAUAACUGCAAUAUAGUUCCUGGAAGCAUUGAUUCAGAUGCUAAAUGCUGGAUCCAAAUCUGCAGCCAAGGACAGAAACAAAGCCAUUCUGAAAAGGCCCGUGUUGUUUACAAUGGCUUCGAGGCUGCAUGUUGCCACCUACCUCAGUCCCCACGACACAGCGUGUGGACUGUUUUUCUAUUGAGAGCUGAACGUCAUGGAGGGAAGAUUGCAGCUGUAUUUCAACAAGUUUGAAAGUCAGUCAUCUUUUUCCAAAAGCACAUUCUCACCAAAGCC
rnacentral:lncRNA from 11 species